UGGACAGUAGCUCAGUGGUCGAGUGCUUGCCUAGAACGCAUGAGGCCCUGGGUCCCAUCCCCAGCGCUCUGG
rnacentral:tRNA from 1 species